UUCUCAAAAAAGCAUACUCAAUCUUUUCCUGGGACCAUAGCUGGGACCAACAUGGAAAAACUUACACUCUACUAAAAUCCCAGGAUCUUCUCUGUGUCAAAUAAUUUAACUACUUCAAUAGUAAUUUUUGGAGACAUCCUUAAAGGAGAACUCCUGCAUAUCCUCUUUCAUCAGCUUCCAAAUCCAAAACAAGAAUUUUGUCUUCUUAACCAGUGCAAACUGCGUACAAAUAGAUUCCCUGGGCAUAGUUCAACCAAAUAAAGAAGGCUGUGCCACAACCUCAGGACAAGAUGGAAGAUCUCUGACAUCUUUCCCUGGUUCUUGGCGUUUCACUGAUUCAUCUAAGGAUAGAGGAGUGAUCAAGAGUCAUAUGGGAGAAACUAUCCAGCAUCCUGGAAAAAACUGCUAAAUGGGAAAUCAGAAGACCAUACUUGAGUCUUCAAACACUUGCUAACAGAUUUCAUUUAUUUUGGUGACUCCACUGAUUCAGACUACUUUUAGAACUUCUCUAUAGCUAUUUGUGAAUGGAUGAGGUAGAAAAGAAAAUCGCCUAGAAGUAAACCCUUUAGGUCAUAGGGUUCUCAGAAUCAGCCUGGUCAUCACACCAUACUUAACCCUUACUCUGCUAGUUAAUCUUCUAGAAGCCAGCUUCAAGAUUCAAAUA